rnacentral:rRNA from 1 species
AUUGAACGCUGGCGGCAGGCCUAACACAUGCAAGUCGAGCGAGCGGCGGACGGGUGAGUAAUGUAUGGGGACUGCCCGAUAGAGGGGGAUAACUACUGGAAACGGUGGCUAAUACCGCAUAAUAUCGGAUAACCCUUAGUGGAUUAGCUAGUAGGUGGGGUAAAGGCUCACCUAGGCCACGAUCCCUAGCUGGUCUGAGAGGAUGAUCGGCCACACUGGGACUGAGACACGGCCCAGACUCCUACGGAGGCAGCAGUAGGGAAUAGUGCACAAUGGGCGCAAGCCUGAUGCAGCCAUGCCGCGUGUAUGAUGAAGGCCUUAGGAUUGUAAAGUACUUUCAGCGGGGAAGCGUUACCCGCAGAGGAAGCACCGGCUAACUCCGUGCCAGCAGCCGCGGUAAUUC